ACGUUAGCGGCGGACGGGUGAGUAACACGUGGGUAACCUACCUAUAAGACUGGGAUAACUUCGGGAAACCGGAGCUAAUACCGGAUAAUAUUUCGAACCGCAUGGUUCGAUAGUGAAAGGUGGUUUUGCUAUCACUUAUAGAUGGACCCGCGCCGUAUUAGCUAGUUGGUAAGGUAACGGCUUACCAAGGCGACGAUACGUAGCUGACCUGAGAGGGUGAUCGGCCACACUGGAACUGAGACACGGUCCAGACUCCUACGGGAGGCAGCAGCU
rnacentral:rRNA from 1 species